rnacentral:rRNA from 1 species
AACGAACGCUGGCGGCGUGCCUAACACAUGCAAGUCGAGGGAGAAAGCCCGCAAGGGCGAGUAAACCGGCGAACGGGUGCGUAACACGUGGAUAAUCUACCUUCCUGACUGGGACAACUGGCCGAAAGGCUUGCUAAAUACCAGAUAAGCCCCGGCGUCUUCGGACGCAGAGGGAAAAGGUGGCCUCUGUAAACAAGCUAUCACAGGGAGAUGAGUCCGCGGCCCAUCAGCUAGUUGGCGGGGUAAAAGCCCACCAAGGCAACGACGGGUAGCUGGUCUGAGAGGAUGAUCAGCCACACUGGAACUGAGACACGGUCCAGACUCCUACGGGAGGCAGCAGUGGGGAAUCUUGCGCAAUGGGCGAAAGCCUGACGCAGCAACGCCGCGUGUGUGAUGAAGGUCUUCGGAUCGUAAAGCACUUUAAGCGGGGAGGAAGGCUCUAUGGCUAAUAUCCAUGGGGAUUGACGUUACCCGCAGAAUAAGCACCGGCAAACUUCGUGCCAGCAGCCG